CCUUUCGGGGUUAGUGGCGGACGGGUGAGUAACGCGUAGGUAUCUAUCCACGGGUGGGGGAUAACAUCGGGAAACUGGUGCUAAUACCGCAUGAUACCUGAGGGUCAAAGGCGCAAGUCGCCUGUGGAGGAGCCUGCGUUCGAUUAGCUAGUUGGUUGGGUAAUGGCUGACCAAGGCGAUGAUCGAUAGCUGGUUUGAGAGGAUGAUCAGCCACACUGGGACUGAGACACGGCCCAGACUCCUACGGGAGGCAGCAGUGGGGAAUAUUGGACAAUGGGGGCAACCCUGAUCCAGCAAUGCCGCGUGUGUGAAGAAGGUCUUCGGAUUGUAAAGCACUUUCGUUGGGGACGAUGAUGACGGUACCCAAAGAAGAAGCCCCGGCUAACUUCGUGCCAGCAGCCGCGGUAAUACGAAGGGGGCUAGCGUUGCUCGGAAUGACUGGGCGUAAAGGGCGCGUAGCGGUUUAAGCAGUCAGAUGUGAAAUCCCCGGGCUUAACCUGGGAACUGCAUUUGAGACGCUUAGACUAGAGUUCGAGAGAGGGUUGUGGAAUUCCCA
rnacentral:rRNA from 1 species